GGGCGGUUAGCUCAGCGGGAGAGCACUUGCUUCACACGCAAGGGGUCACUGGUUCGAUCCCAGUACCGCCCA
rfam:Symbiobacterium thermophilum isolate G2 contig02502, whole genome shotgun sequence.